GACAGAGGGUGCAAACGUUGCUCGGAAUUACUGGGCGUAAAGCGCGUGUAGGCGGUUUCGCAAGUCAGGUGUGAAAGCCCGGGGCUCAACCCCCGGAAGUGCACUUGAUACUACGGAGCUGGAGUACUGAAGAGGAGAGCGGAAUUCCCGGUGUAGAGGUGAAAUUCGUAGAUAUCGGGGAGGAACACCAGUGGCGAAGGCGGCUCUCUGGGCAGAUACUGACGCUGAGACGCGAAAGCAUGGGGAGCAAACAGG
rnacentral:rRNA from 1 species